UCGCUGGAUGCUCUCUUCCAGGUGGUGGCGGGGUUGGCAGGGCUACGCGGGGCCCGUUUCACUCUAGCAGCGCUUUCCCUGAGCCUCCGCGGGAGCGCAGAGCCCAAAUCACCGAGGCCUGGGAGAUGGCCCUGAAACUCCUGCUGCCCAAACCCCGCCUUCCAAGUCCCCCUUUCAUCCCGACCCCACUAGUCGUGGGUCCCUGAGCCAUGACCUCCGAGAGGUUGGGACUGGUUCAGACAACUUUUUUUUUUUUCCGUCCCUGAUAUUGUAAAUGAACACAUAAACAAAGCAAUACAAAAGCAGGAUUACAUUGUGGCGUAUUUAAAAUGUUUAUUUACACUUGAUAAAUGAUUUAUUAACACACGCAAUCUCUGGUACUGUACAGUCUCACUUUAGAUAAUGUCAGGAUCUAAAUUUGAGCCCUUGAGGGAAUGCGAGGCCUUUGCUCUGCCCAAGACUAGCCUUCUUUGCAGGAUCAUGACAAAGUUUGUCUCCCUCUUACAAUGUCUAUACUACGGAAUGUUGUACAUUUAAGAAUUUUGAAAACUGGCGUUCUGGUAAAUGAUGGCCACCUUGAUGGUGCCUGUCCCCAGUAGUCCUAAUUUAAAGUGAGAAGAGAUAGCCAUGUUGCAUUCUGAUAAAUAAAUAAAUAAGCCACAUCAUGACAUUACUUGAGAUGGCAGGAGUUCUUCCCAAUUUACUCCUCUAAAAUGUCAGGAGUACAGGUCAUGUUGGCAGGCCAUUCCCAGGGGAGGUCAGUGGUGGCCAAAGAGAUAAUUGCUAAACUAUUAAGCAGAGAAGGAACUUCAAGCAGCUGGAACAGAAAAUGUAUGUCAUUAGAACGACGGCAUUUAAUUUAAUUACAUCCCUGGCCACUGAAGAAGCUAACAAACAGAAUCCUUGGUAAAGCAUUGCCCAGAUUCUACUGCGAUGAACAGUUGGAUCUGUCAAGUUUAAGAUUUAAUUAAGAGAAUACACCUUUCUAAUAGGUGGAGGUUCUCUUCAAGGAAGGACACCCAGUAUGACACCCAGUAGGACGGGUGCUUCCAGCUGACUUGUAAGAUGGGGAAAGACAGGUUGGGCGACAUUUUUUGACUGUACACAUCGGCUCUAGGGUGGAACUCAAGAAGAAAAUCACUACUGGGUGUGUGCAGAGCCCGAGAAGUUUUCAGCAAUGACUCUUAUGGCUCUCAAGGGUAGAGUGCUGGAAACAACGGCCCUUGGGGACUCCAAGCUUACUGCUGGCCUUGGGGAGGGUCACACCCAGUUGGGGUGACCAGAGCAGACUGCCCCUGAGGUCAUCAUUUACAGUGAAGGAAGGACUCCUUGGAGUCUAGGGAUGCUCCUUUUGAUCUGAGCUCAAAAUGUGGAGUAGGGUGUGGAAUGGAAUUUUCUAGACUGCUGAAGCAUCUAGAGGAGUUUGGGAGGAUCCUCUUCCCUGUCAUCUCCAUCAGGAUAGAUUCCAGUUUCCUCAGGCCACUGCCUAGAUGUGCAAAGGGACUGGACGGCUUUUCAGCUGGGGAUUCCACAACACUGCAAAGCAGAUAUUUCAAAACCCAACAGUCAACACAAUGCUAGGAACUUUUCUUAUGGCUUCUCAAUGUGAAAUAACUUGGUUUUGCAAGCAUGUUUGACAGACUAGACAAUCCUUUCUAGAACGUUAAGACUUUAGGAAAUUCUUCUGGAAAAUGAGGUGUUGAACUGCAUGUCUUCUACCUCAAAACGCAAACUGUCUUGCCUUAACCAUUUUCGGCAUUUUAGAAUGUCUUUCGACAGGUAGAAUAGAGUUUGUCCACUUGCAAGCUGAGUUAGAUUCGAAGUUUAAAUGAGUGGAUGAGUAGUUUGAAGUUUAUAAUAAAGACAACUUAUCAACAUUCUUAUUAUGUUAAUGUUAUAACCCUGGGGGGCCAUUUUCAGCCGCUCAGCAUACUUUGAGCACUCUCUGUAUGCUAUGGGGGAGCACUAAGAAUUUUUAUUUCACUGGAGCAAAAAGAGGAAUAUAUUAAAUAACAAAGCAAGAGGCUAAAUUGCAUGGCCUGAAUAAUAACUAUGUGGAUUACAGGAGGUAAAUUGGGAGUGAAGAGAAGGGGACUCAUCAAGUAAGAUAAUAUAUGUAACCACUAGAACAAGGUAAGCACUCAAUACAUAUAAGCUAUUAUCAUCAUUCACUAUGGAGUGGGGAUUUAAGCUGGAGUUUGAAACUAUGGAGGAACUAUUCAUUCAUUCAUUCGUUCAUUCAUGAAACGUAUUUGUCAAGCACUUGUCAAGCACUGUACUGGACACUGCGGGGUAAAGAGGAGAUAAGAUAGAUCAAGUACAGCCCUCAUGGAGCUUCCAUCCUGUUGGGGGAAAGAGGAAAGACAGCAGACAAAUAAAUGAAUAAAAUAAGUACAGAUUGUUCUUAGUGCUUUGAAGGAAUUAAAAGUAUAUUAUGAUCACUCAUAAUGGGGUGGGGGAUCUACUUUAUACAGAUCUACUUUGAUUGGAUGAGAUGAGACCCGAAGAUGGGAAGGAGCCAGCCACGAAAAGUGCUAAGGAAAGAACAUUCCAGGCAGUGGUCAGAGUAAGCGUGAAUAUCUGGAGGCAAGAAAAUACUUCCCUAUUGGAGGAACAGAAGAGAGCAAGACGAGAGUGGUUGCAUUCGUAAUUGGAGGCAUAAGCAGAAAGCAGGUCCCAGAGGACCUCGUAGGCCAUGACAGGUUGGAAUUUUAUUCUCAGUCUCCCUAUAAGUAAAGAGAGGGAUAGUAUUGUGAUGGGGUGAGAGCAGGGCAAAGGCGCAGGAUGAGCAAGGCAUGUCUGUGGGCAAAAGCCAACAUAGCAGCCUGGCUGGGGAGGGCAGCUGCAGCAGAAGCAGGCUGGAGACCAAGGUUUUAGCUAGAUUCUGAAUGGCUUGAAUUAAUUUUUAUUUUUAUUCCCUGUAAGCAAUAGGGUGUUGUUGAUUAUUGAUCAGAGGAAUGAUUUAAUGAAUUUAAAAAAUUUCAGGGAGGGCUUCCCUGGCGGCGCAGUAGUUGAGAGUCCGCCUGUCGAUGCAGGGGACACGGGUUCGUGCCCCGGUCCGGGAAGAUCCCACAUGCCGUGGAGCGGCUGGGCCCGUGAGCCAUGGCUGCUGAGCCUGCGCGUCCGGAGCCUGUGCUCUGCAGCAGGAGAGGCCACGACAGUGAGAGGCCCGCGUACCGCAAAAAAAAAAAAAAAAAAAAAAAAAAAAAUUUCAGGGAUACCUGCCGCAUCUAAAUACUACGGUAGGGAAUCCAAAAAUAUGUAAGAUGACUUCCCUACCCAAUUUACUGAAUCUAUUCUAAAAAUUACGUCUAGGGAUAUUCACCAAAUGACGGUGAAAAGACUAGUGUAAGAAAAUACUGCCGGGUCUAUUGCAGGGGCCUCACCUGUACCACUUCUCCUGCCUCCUCAGCGGUGUUGCUCAGUCCCCUGCCAUGUCACCUGCUCCCGCUCUCUGGCUUCCCCUGGGCAUAUCCGCAGGCUUUCCCCUCUUUUUAAAUGUCAUUCAGCUUUAAGAAAACAGCAUCUCUGAAAACCCCAGCCCUUGAACUACUGUUCUCUCCCUCUCUUGCUCUCUGUUCAAAGUUAAAUUUCUUGGAAGAGUUAUAUGCAUUCCUCAUCCACACUUCCUCAUCUCUAAUUCGAUCUAUCAUCAUUUGGCUCACCCUAACUUAACUUUCAACUAUCUCUACCCCAGUCCACCACUCCACUGAAACUUCUCUCCUAAAGUUAACAAUUACAUUCAAAUUCUCAAAUACAAUGGUACUUUCCUUUCCUUAUCAUGUUUCAUCUUUUUUUCUGAUUUUCUAGCUUUACAUGUUGAUCUGAUCAUAUUCUCUUCCUACCCAUCUUGGUUUCCUGUUAUCCUUUUGGGUUUCCCUUCUAACUUUCCGUUUCUUCCUUUGAAGUGUGCUCUUCCUCUGUUAAUCUCUUACAUAUUGAUGUUCCCCAAAGUUCAAUCUCCUGCCCACUUCCUCCUCAUCCCAUGUACUGUUACUGAGUAGCCUAAUCCAAACCUAUGGCUUCAACUGAACCAAUAUUCCAGGGACUCUCCCCUCUUCACAUUUAGCCCAGAAUUUUCUCCUGAGCUCCACAUCUGAAGUUCCAGCUGGACACUCCUGGGUACUGCAAACUAAACCUCUUCCUCCAUAGUUCUGUCCCUCUCUUCCCUAUCUCGUGAACAUCAGCACCACCCGCCAAGUCAGACAACUGGAAUGUUUCACGGAUAUCUCCCUCUCUCUCACCCUUAGAUGCAAUUAAUCACAAAGAUCUGUCAACUCUGCUUCCUAAAUAUGUCUUCUUAGUUUAGUCCCUCCUCCCUGUUCCCAUUUGCCAUAGUCCAGACUUUCAUCAUUUAUUGCCUGGAUCACUGCCAUCACCUUCCAACCAGUCCUUCUGCCUCUAGUUGGGCCUCCCUCCAAUUUAUCAUCUAUGUUACUGCCAGGAUGAUCCUUAUAAAAUGUAAUUUAGACAAUGUUACUCCCUUGUCUAAAAUCUUUCAAUGACUACAUGUAGUCUGCAAAGUAAAGUUCAGGUUUCCUUAUAUUUCAUAACAGGUUCCUCAUGGCCUGGCCACGACCCAACUCUGUAGGCUCUUCUCCCACCAACCCCUCAUAGCUAUCCUACUCUCUAGGUCAGCAUCCCCAAUGCUGUUCUGAGCUGUACUUCCUCAAGAUAUUAAUAAAAGUCUGGGCAAAUGAGUUUGAGAAAGGAUGAAAACACAUUUCUACACAGUAAUAUGCAUUGAGAAUGUCCAAGAAAUGAACAGAGUGGGUCAAGUUUGAGCACCAAACUCUAUUAACAUCUCAAGGAAUUCAAUUUGGGAAAUGCUACUGAAGGCAUCAGAGUUCCUGGAAUACGCCAUACUCUCGUUUCUCCCCACUCUACCUGGGUUGUCAUUCACUUAUUAAUCAAUUAAUUUUUAAAAACAAACUGUAUCUCCUAAAGAGUGCAAUACACUGGGAAUACAAAUGGCAAAAAUGCUCUAAGUAAGCUAAAUAAGUAAACCCAUGAUUACAACACGUCAGGAUAAAUGCUAUGUAACUUGGCAGAAUAAGGUGAGGGACCUGACAGAGUUGGUGGGAUCAGGAAACAGUAACCCUGCCUCCCCUUUUUUCACCUGGGUUAUUUCUGAGAUAGGUGUCAGUUUUCAUUUGGUGUAUUUUGAGUCCUAGUUGUUAAGUGCACGUAUAUUUAUAAUUGUUAAAUUUUCCUGAUGUAUUGACUCUUAUCUUUAUGAAAUGUCCCUCUUAGUCUCUAGUAAUAUUUCUUGUCUUAAAGUCUGUUUUGUCUAAUAUUAAUAUAACCACUUCAGUUCUCUAAUGGUUACUGUUUGAAUGGAAUAUCUUUUUCCAUCCUUUCACUUUCAAUCUACUUACGUCUUUGAAUCUAAGAUGUGUCUCUUGUAGACAGCAUAUAGUUGGAUCUUGCCUUUUUUUCCAGUCUGACAAUCUCUGCAUUUUGAUUGGGGUGUUUAGACUCUUCACAUUUAAUGUAAUUAUUGAUAUGGUUGGACUUAUAUUUGCCAUUUAUCUAUUUGUUUUCUAUAGCUCAAUUCUCUUUUUCAUUCUUCUUCUCUGCCUUGACUGUCUUCUUUUGUGUUAAAUAUUUUCAGUGUAACAUUUAAAUUAUUCUGUUAAUUUUAAAAAUAAUUUAGUUUUUUUAGGGAUUAUAAUCUAAGGAUUACAAUAUGCAACUUAAUUUGUCACAAUUUACUUCAGAUUAAUACUAAUUUAAUUCUAGAAAAAUAUAGAAACUUUGCUUCAAUAUAUCUCUAUUCCCUUCUGCCUUUUUGUGCUAUUAUUGUCGUAUAUGUUACAUCUAUAUAUGCUAUAAAACCAACGAUACAAUGUUGUAAUUAUUGCUUUAAAUAAUUGUAUGUAUUUAAAGAAGUUAAGACAUGAGAAAUAGAUAACUGCAGUCUUUUAUAUUAGCCCAUAUAAUUAUCAUCUCUGGUAAUCUUCAUUUCUCCCUGUAGGUAUGGGCACUCCAAAUUGAAUGAGCCCCUUCAACUGUGGCAGAGGUAUUGUUGGUACUGAUAGCCUGCUCUGCCCUGACAGAACAUCUACAUUGGCCAACCUGGGGUGGGGGCAGGGAGGAGAAUGGGAGGGGCCAGAAUGCCACAGACUCCCACUGUUCUUACCUGAAGUUCAAGCAUGAGCACUUUUCAGAUUGUUGUGUGUCUUUGAUCUAUUCUCAGAAGGCUGAAAUGGUUAUUUUGGUCUUUUUUUUUUUAAGGUCUGUAACAUGCGGGAUCUUAGUUCCCUGACCAGGGAUUGAACCUGUGCCCCCUGCAUUGGGAACGCAGAAUCUUAACCACUGGACCGCCGGAGAAGUCUCGUUUUGGGCUACUUUCAAUCAAGGAAAGAUUGAACUCCCCAAUGAUGUCAAAGACAGCAUAUUGCAGAGGUUAACUAACGAGUCACCCGGAGAAGAUGGAGCAGCCAUUGUGCUGACAUGUUCAAGAGCUAAUCGGUUCUGAUGAUGUAAUUUGCAGUAGUGCUUGAUGUCUAUUAGCCUGAUGUGAGACAGUUGCUGUGGGCCCGGAGGAUUAAAGUGUGAAGCAUGAGGGAUUUUACCAGGCCUAACACAGUCUCAACUCCAGGCUCACUUUAUCCAAGACCACUUCAGUCAACACUGAUGCUCCCUUCCAUGAACUCCUGUGGAACUUACAGUCAGAAUUAUAUGCUUUAGCACUUACUUCUUGAAUGUUUAUCAUGUACCCUCAACUUGACCAGAAGCUACUGAGGACAUAAUUUUUUCUGUAUCUCUCACUGCAUAGAGCCUAAUGGUAGGCACAAAAUUUAAAUAAAAAAUGUUUGGGGCAAAAUAUUGAUAAUUGUUCAAGCAGAGGAAUGGUUACACAUGGGUUUCUGCUACUAUCCUUUCUACUUUUGUGUGCUUGGAAAUUCCCUUGAUAGCAGGGUUGGCAGAUUUAGCAAAUAAUCAUGCAGGAUGCCCUGUUAAAUUUGAAUUUCAGAUAAACAACGACUAAUUUCUUACUAUUAAUAAUUUGUAUUAUAUUUUGAUAUAUCACCCAUAAUUUUUCAUACCAUUUAAUUUAAUCAUAUAAUUUUUUUUUUUUUUUUUUGCGGUGCGCGGGCCUCUCACUGUUGUGGCCUCUCCUGUUGCAGAGCACAGGCUCCGGACGCGCAGGCUCAGCGGCCAUGGCUCACAGGCCCAGCCACUCCGCGGCAUGUGGGAUCCUCCCGGACUGGGGCACGAAUCCGUGUCCCCUGCAUCGGCAGACCGACUCUCAACCACUGCACCACCAGGGAAGCCCGGGUGACCUGUAUUUUAUCUAGCAACCUGACUUGCUAGAAACUUAAAAACAUAAUUGGUGAUUGAUCCAUGGGCUCAGAGAAAGUGGAUGGUAGAAACGGUGCCUUUUCUCUUAGAGUGUGAUCUGGUGUCACUUACCUGUUAUAAAGGCAGCUUCCUAUGCUCCCCUACUCCGCCCCAGAGGUGCCAAAUCAGUAUUUCUUCUGGUGGGACUCUGCACUUGCAACAAGAUCCCAGAUGAU